UCCGAGUGGUGUGGAUGUUUAUUGGGCCUAAAGCAUCCGUAGCUGGCUAAGUUAGUCCCUUGUUAAAUCCACCGAAUUAAUCGUUGGAUUGCGGGGGAUACUGCUUGGCUAGGGGACGAGAGAGGCAGACGGUAUUUUCGGGGUAGGGGUGAAAUCCUAUAAUCCCGGGAAGACCACCAGUGGCGAAGGCUGUCUGCUAGAACGCGCCCGACGGUGAGGGAUGAAAGCUGGGGGAGCGAACCGGAUUAGAUACCCGGGUAGUCCCAGCUGUAAACGAUGCAGGCUAGGUGUUUGGACGGCCACGUGCCGUUCUAGCGCCGCAGGGAAGCUGUUAAGCCUGCCGCCUGGGGAGUACGAUCGCAAGAUUGAAACUUAAAGGAAUUGGCGGGGGAGCACCACAAGGGGUGAAGCUUGCGGUUUAAUUGGAGUCAACGCCGGAAAUCUCACCGGGAGCGACAGCAGUGUGAAGGCCAGAUUAAAGGUCUUGCCAGACGAGCUGAGA
rnacentral:rRNA from 1 species